UACGGGGGGAGCUAGCGUUAUUCGGAAUUACUGGGCGUAAAGAGCGCGUAGGCGGUUCUGUAAGUUGGAAGUGAAAGCCCAGGGCUUAACCUUGGAACUGCUUUCAAAACUGCAGGACUAGAGAUUGAUAGGGGAUAGCGGAAUUCCUAGUGUAGAGGUGAAAUUCUUAGAUAUUAGGAGGAACACCGGUGGCGAAGGCGGCGACCUGGGUCGAUACUGACGCUGAGGCGCGAAAGCGUGGGGAGCAAACAGG
rnacentral:rRNA from 1 species